CCAGCUUAUAGGUUACUUAUUGACUGUGUAGUCGUAAACUACUUUUCCCUUCCAAGGAGCACUAGCCACCCGUCCUGUCCGAUUUACCUCGGUUGGGCGGAGUAUGAACGUAUACGUUAGGACCCGAAAGAUGGUGAACUAUGCCCGGGCAGGAGGAGGCCAGAGGAAACUCUGGUGGAGGUUCGUAGCCGUUUUGACGUGCAAAUCGAUCGUCAGAUCCAGGCCUAGAAAAGAAUAAUCGAACUGG
rnacentral:ncRNA from 1 species